ensembl:lncRNA
CCCCCACCACCCCACAGAAUGCCACCCCAAAUGACCCCAAACCGCCCCACAGACUGCGACCCCAAAGGACCCCCAACCGCCCCCCCCACCCCACAGAACGCGACCCCAAAGGACCCCCACAUCGGUGGGGGGCGUGGCCUCAACGUAUGGGCGUGGCCUCGGGUUUUGUGGGCGGGGCCCCAACCGCGGCGCGGGUUUCCCAAUGGGCGUGGCAUCGCGAGGUGGGCGUGGCCUCCCGGAAUGGGCGUGGCCUCAACGGCGGCACGGCUCCAAAGGGGGCGUGGCCUCAAUCGCGCCGCGGUUCGGCCAACGUGGGGCUUUGCCCCAUAAGUGCCCCCAAGUGGGGCUCUGCCCCAUAGCCGCUCCUAUGUGGGGCUCUCCCCCAUAGCCGCUCCUAUGUGGGGCUCUGCCCCAUAACUGCCCUUAUGUGGGGCUCUGCCCCAUAACUGCCCCAAGUGGGGCUCUGCCCCAUAACCGCGCCUAUGCGGGGCUCUGCCCCAUAAGUGCCCCUAUGUGGGGCUUUGCCCCAUAACCGCUCCUAUGUGGGGCUCUGCCCCAUAACCACUCCAUAAAGUCUGCCCCAUAAGUGCCCCCAAGUGGGGCUCUGCCCCAUAACUGCGCCUAUGCGGGGCUCUGCCCCAUAACUGCCCUUAUGUGGGGCUCUGCCCCAUAACUGCCCCAAGUGGGGCUCUGCCCCAUAACCACCCCUAUGUGGGGCUCUUCCCCAUAACCGCUCCUAUGUGGGGCUCUGCCCCAUAACCACUCCAUGAAGUCUGCCCCAUAAGUGCCACCACGUGGGGCUCUGCCCCAUAACCGCGCCUAUGCGGGGCUCUGCCCCAUAAGUGCCCCUAUGUGGGGCUUUGCCCCAUAACCGCUCCUACGUGGGGCUCUGCCCCAUAACCGCCACCACGUGGGGCUCAGCCCCAUAACCACCGGAACCCACCGCGCUGCCCCGUAAGUGCUCCCAUGUGGUGCUCUGCCCCAUAAGUGCUCCCAUGUGGGGCUCUGCCCCAUAACUGCCACCACGUGGGGGUCUGCCCCAUAACCGCUCCUAUGUGGGGCUCUGCCCCAUAACCGCCACCACGUGGGGCUCAGCCCCAUAACCACCGGAACCCACCGCGCUGCCCCGUAAGUGCUCCCAUGUGGUGCUCUGCCCCAUAAGUGCUCCCAUGUGGGGCUCUGCCCCAUAACUGCCACCACGUGGGGGUCUGCCCCAUAACCGCUCCUAUGUGGGGCUCUGCCCCAUAACCGCCACCACGUGGGGCUCUGCCCCAUAACCGCUCCUAUGUGGGGCUCUGCCCCAUAACUGCCCUUAUGUGGGGCUCUGCCCCAUAACUGCCCCAAGUGGGGCUCUGCCCCAUAACCGCUCCUAUGUGGGGCUCUGCCCCAUAACCACUCCAUGAAGUCUGCCCCAUAAGUGCCACCACGUGGGGCUCUGCCCCAUAACCGCGCCUAUGCGGGGCUCUGCCCCAUAAGUGCCCCUAUGUGGGGCUCUGCCCCAUAACCUACCCCAAGUGGGGCUCUGCCCCAUAACUGCUCCUAUGUGGGGCUCUGCCCCAUAACCACUCCAUGAAGUCUGCCCCAUAAGUGCUCCCACGUGGAGCUCUGCCCCAUAACCACUCCAUGAAGUCUGCCCCAUAAGUGCCACCACGUGGGGCUCUGCCCCAUAGCCGCUCCUAUGUGGGGCUCUGCCCCAUAACUGCCCCCAUGUGGGGCUCUGCCCCAUAACCACCACCACGUGCGGCUCUGCCCCAUAACUGCUCCUACGUGGGGCUCUGCCCCAUAACCGCCACCACGUGGGGCUCAGCCCCAUAACCACCAGACCCCACCGCACUGCCCCAUAAGUGCCGCCAUGUGGGGCUCUGCCCCAUAACCGCUCCUAUGUGGGGCUCUGCCCCAUAAGUGCCUCCACGUGGGGCUCUGCCCCAUAGCGUAGUGGAGACAGAUGGCAUCCACAAAGCAGGGCCGUGCCCCACAUCCUGCCAGCUGUGCACCGCCCCACAUGGACUCUGCCCCAUAACCCCACCCGGGGACACCGCCCCACGUCCUGACCCACAGCUGCUGUGCUAUGGGGCUCUGCCCCACAUCCCGACCCACAGCUGUGCGCUAUGGGGCUCUGCCCCACACCCCGACCCACAGCUGUGCACUAUGGGGCUCUGCCCCACAUCCCGACCCACAGCUGUGUGCAAUGGGGCUCUCUGCCCCACAUCCCGACCCUAUGGGGCUCUGCCCCACAUCCUGACCUACAACUGCGCGUUAUGGGGCUCUGCCCCACAUCCCGACCCACAGCUGUGUGCAAUGGGGCUCUCUGCCCCACAUCCCGACCCUAUGGGGCUCUGCCCCACAUCCCGACCCACAGCUGUGUGCUAUGGGGCUCUGCCCCACAUCCCGACCCACAGCUGUGCACUAUGGGGCUCUGCCCCACAUCCCGACCCACAGCUGUGUGCAAUGGGGCUCUGCCCCACAUCCCGACCGUAUGGGGCUCUGCCCCACAUCCCGACCCACAGCUGUGUGCAAUGGGGCUCUGCCCCACAUCCCGACCGUAUGGGGCUCUGCCCCACAUCCCGACCCACAGCUGUGCGCUAUGGGGCUCUGCCCCACAUCCCGACCCACAGCUGUGUGCAAUGGGGCUCUGCCCCACAUCCCGACCCACAGCCGUGUGCAAUGGGGCUCUCUGCCCCACAUCCCGACCCACAGCUGUGCACUAUGGGGCUCUGCCCCACAUCCCGACCCACAGCUGUGCGCUAUGGGGCUCUGCCCCACAAUUGAACCAAAGAACACCUCCACUGACUGCCCCACAGCGGUGCUCUGCCCCACAUCAUGGCCUCUGUGCCCCACAUUAUGGCACUCUGCCCCACAUCAUGGCCUCUCUGCCCCACAUUAUGGCACUCUGCCCCACAUCAUGGCCUCUCUGCCCCACAUCACAGUGCUCUGCCCCACAUUAUGGCCCUCUGCCCCACAUCAUGGCCUCUCUGCCCCACAUUAUGGCACUCUGCCCCACAUUAUGGCCUCUCUGCCCCACAUCGCAGUGCUCUGCCCCACAUCAUGGCCUCUCUACCCCACAUCACAGUGCUCUGCCCCACAUCGUGGCUCUCUGCCCAACAUUAUGGCACUCUGCCCCACAUCACAGUGCUC